ensembl:lncRNA
CCAUUCUUCAAGUUACUUAACGUGUUUUUACCUAGUAUUAGAUUAUUAUUCCGUUUUUGUUAAAUCAAUAAUCUUUGUGACUGUUUAUAUAUAGCUAGCUGCUAGCACGAUGUUCGGUUGCGAGGAAAGACGUUCCAAAAACAAACUUGUGCAAAGGGAGAAAGACAGAAUCAAGAGAGAUGAAGAAUUGACAGAUCGUAUUGCAGAACUGGACAGUAACCGUGGUGUGCUGCAAAAGGCUGUGUUUGAGGGCUGCACCCAGACUGAUUCAGCAAAGGCUCUGAAACUGAGGAUGCUGACCCAGCAAAGAGAAAC